UACGGAGGGUGCAAGCGUUAUCCGGAUUCACUGGGUUUAAAGGGUGCGUAGGUGGGCAAAUAAGUCAGUGGUGAAAUCUCCGGGCUUAACCCGGAAACUGCCAUUGAUACUAUUUGUCUUGAAUACUGUGGAGGUCAGCGGAAUAUGUCAUGUAGCGGUGAAAUGCUUAGAUAUGACAUAGAACACCAAUUGCGAAGGCAGCUGGCUACACAAAUAAUGACACUGAGGCACGAAAGCGUGGGGAUCAAACAGG
rnacentral:rRNA from 1 species